UUUGGGGCUAUAUUUUUUUUCUUUUCAACACAUAUAGUACUAUGCUUUCAUAAUAUAUUCUUGAAUUAAUGGUAUUAAUUCAGGGGGUAAUUAUUCAACUUUUGUUGGUGCUUUUUCUAGAUGUGAGGUUGGGAAAGAUACAGAGAAAUAAAAAUUAAGAGACAGAGUUUAACUAUAUGUGAAAAUACAAAACAGCUUAAAGACAUCAAUUUUUAAACUUUUAUCAAAAAACUGCUCUUCAAAAUGAGUUCUCUGACCAUAUCAGCAAAUAUAUGACAAUGUUUCCUAAAAUUUACUUGUUUCCCAAAUCAUUCUCAUCCCUAAAUAUGAAUGGAAACUGCAUUCAGAAUUUCAACAUGCAAAUAAAUUUUUAAAAAGAGCUAAAAAUAAUUAAAAAACACUCAUUUAAAUUAUAAAGGUUGAGCUUUGCUCCAUUCUUCAUUCCUGGCCCAGCUGUAGAUUUCUAUAUUUCUUUAAUGGCUUGUCCAUCUCACAACAACAUCCAGGAAUCUUUUUUCUUACAAAGUAGAAAAGUCUGUAAAUUUGCCUUGGGUCAACCAGAAGUAACGUAAAAUUUACCAAAAAGAUAUGUUUCUGACUCAAUUUUUCUUAAAAACUAUUAUUACUGUUUAGUAUUCCAUGUGGCCAUCUAAUUUUUCAACAAAAUACUACUCUUCAUAUAUUAAACACAGUUCAUUUCAAUUUUAUCAUGCCCGUGUAUUUCCCCCAGACUCUACCU
rnacentral:lncRNA from 1 species